rnacentral:tRNA from 1 species
ACUUUUAAAGGAAAAUAGACAUCCAC